rnacentral:rRNA from 1 species
CCCUUAGAUGUUCUGGGCCGCACGCGCGCUACACUGAUGCAUUCAACGAGUGUACCUUGGCCGAGAGGCCUGGGCAAUCUUUUGAACGUGCAUCGUGAUAGGGAUAGAUUAUUGCAAUUAUUAAUCUUGAACGAGGAAUUCCUAGUAAACGCAGUUCAUCAAACUGCAUUGAUUACGUCCCUGCCCUUUGUACACACCGCCGUCGCACCUACCGAUUGGAUGGUCCGGUGAAGCCUCGGGAUUGUGGCGGUUGCCUUUAUUGGUGGCCGCCGCGAGAACUUGUCUAAACCUUAUCAUCUAGAGGAAGGUGAAGUCGUAACA